GGUACGACUCUCGGCAAUGGAUAUCUGGGCUCUCGCAUCGAUGAAGAACGUAGCAAAAUGCGAUACAUGGUGUGAAUUGCAGAAUCUCAUGAACCAUCGAGUCUUCGAAUGCAAGUUGCGCUAGAGGCCAUCCGGCCAAGGGCAUGCAUAUUUGGGCAUCACGG
rnacentral:rRNA from 1 species